AGAACAAGUGGUUCGAAAUUGAAAGUCGGCUUCGGCUGUCACUUAUGGAUGGACCCGCGUCGCAUUAGCUAGUUGGUGAGGUAACGGCUCACCAAGGCAACGAUGCGUAGCCGACCUGAGAGGGUGAUCGGCCACACUGGGACUGAGACACGGCCCAGACUCCUACGGGAGGCAGCAGUAGGGAAUCUUCCGCAAUGGACGACCGUCUGACGGAGCAACGCCGCGUGAGUGAUGAAGGCUUUCGGGUCGUAAAACUCUGUUGUUAGGGAAGAACAAGUGCUAGUUGAAUAAGCUGGCACCUUGACGGUACCUAACCAGAAAGCCACGGCUAACUACGUGCCAGCAGCCGCGGUAAUACGUAGGUGGCAAGCGUUAUCCGGAAUUAUUGCGCGUAAAGCGCGCGCAGGUGGUUUCUUAAGUCUGAUGUGAAAGCCCACGGCUCAACCGUGGAGGGUCAUUGGAAACUGGGAGACUUGAGUGCAGAAGAGGAAAGUGGAAUUCCAUGUGUAGCGGUGAAAUGCGUAGAGAUAUGGAGGAACACCAGUGGCGAAGGCGACUUUCUGGUCUGU
rnacentral:rRNA from 1 species